GCUUCUUCCAAGAAAAAAGAAAGGCAAAUCUUCUUUCAGGACAAAGUUACACAGCCCGCACCACCUCAUCCUCUAGGUCACCUCCCUAGUGUGACCUGGAAUUUCCCUGCUGUUUAGCCAACCCCACUGUUCCCAUCUGUGUGCACUUUCUCAAGACUCACAAAGUUCACAAACUUUAUAGAGAGACAAACCCCAGGGAGAUGGUUCUUGCUCCAGUUUCAUCCUAAAUGCUAAAAGAAAUGAUCAGGCUUCUCAUUAUUUAUGUAGGGGUUCCCUUCAGCUGAGUGGACCAGAGAUGCAGCUUUGAAGAGGUCAGAUUCUUGCCUUAAUAUCCUAGGCCUGAAUGUUGUUCUGAUGGACUGCUGAGUUAGUCCUUGCA
rnacentral:lncRNA from 1 species